CAACAACAGAUUCCAAGAGCUGCACAUAAGUCACCUUUGCACUUGCUGAGCCCACACGGUCAUUUCUGCAGACAGAUCUAAGGCCCUUUGUAUACUGUAAGGACAUGGAAGGUGCUGCUGGGAGCCCAGGCUGGCCACAGCAGGCUGUCAACCUCAACGAGGAAGAAGGGACACCUGAGAACCUUCAAAGGCGACACUGGAAUCCCGGUGGGACAAGCCACUGCUGAACUGCCACACCCAGAAUUCACCCAGGACAUGCGACUCAUGUUGCAGGCCUCUACUUGAUGCUCUCUGCCUGCAAUGCCACAGUUCCAGCUCCCUCUGCACUUCCCAGACCCUGCUGUGUGUGUCUGUGUGCACAUAUUACCUGCCUGUUCCUAGAUCAUGCACCUGUGCUCACCAAGUGCUCUGGAUGAAAUCAACAUUUCAUAAAUAUGUGAAGGAUCUGCUUUACAUCCUCUCUAGGCGACAUGAAAUUCCUAACUCAGUGUGAAUACUAUGCAUGGCUGUCCUGCGUUGUCCAGGAAGGAAUGAC
rnacentral:lncRNA from 1 species